rnacentral:rRNA from 1 species
CAAUAGCGUAUAUUAAAGUUGUUGCAGUUAAAAAGCUCGUAGUUGAAGAUACGAACGCUUACACUAGAACAAAGUUUCCGGUGUCUGCGUUCACUUUUCGCAAAGACAGCCUGGCCCAUUAGUUUGGGUCUUGUUUGAGUUGCGUCAUUUACUGUGAACAAAUUAGGGUGUUUAAAGCAGGCCUACGUUUGAAUACACUAGCAUGGAAUAAUAAGAUAUGAUCUUGGUCGUAUUUUGUUGGUGACUACCAAGAUAAUGAUUGAUAGAAACUGUUGUGGGUAUCCGUAUGAGCAUGUCAGAGGUGAAAUUCUUGGAUUUUGAUCAGACGAACUACUGCGAAAGUAUUUACCAAGGAUGUUUUCAUUAA